rnacentral:rRNA from 1 species
GUACAUGCCUAUAAUAUAGCAUUAAUGCAUCAUAUCCCAUUAGAACUCCACAAUCAAGUUCUUUCAGGAUUGAGUAGUACUGGGAUGGGAGACCUCCUAGCAGUCCUAUUGUUUUACAUG